UGACCAUAAACCACGAUUAUUCUACACAAAUAACCCGCCAGAGAACUACAGGCGAAAAGCCCGAAACUCCAAGGACUUGACGGUGUCUCACACAACCUAGAGGAGCCUGUCCUACAACCGAUACCCCACGCUACACCCAACCUUCUCUCGCACCACACAGCCUAUAUACCGCCGUCGUCAGUUCGCCCUCUGAGGGCUCACACAGCGAACACAACACUCCACUCACUAACACGUCAGGUCAAGGUGUAGCUCACGAGAAGGGAGAGAUGGGCUACAUUCUCAACCACACUUGAGCACACCAAUAGCAACAUGAAACUUUUAGCCACAAGGCGGAUUUAGCAGUAAAUCGAGCAAGAUAUGCUCGCCUGAACCAAGCCCUGAGACGCGUACACACCGCCCGUCACCCUCAUCAAGAACAAAUCAACACACCUUUAAGCCCCUAUUACCAAGUCAAUACAACCGAGAUGAGAUAAGUCGUAACAUGGUAAGUGUACUGGAAAGUGCAA
rnacentral:rRNA from 1 species